rnacentral:rRNA from 1 species
CGAUAACCAUGGCUUCGGCCAUGGGGAUAGCGGCGAACGGGUGAGUAACACGUGAGCGAUCUGCCCUCGACACUGGGAUAGCCCGGGGAAACCCGGAUUAAUACCGGAUAGCCUCACGGGUCUACGGGCUCGUGAGAAAAGAUGGCUUCGGCUUUCGGUUGAGGAGGAGCUUGCGGCGGAUUAGCUUGUUGGUGGGGUAACGGCUCACCAAGGCGACGAUCCGUAGCUGGUCUGAGAGGACGAUCAGCCACACUGGGACUGAGACACGGCCCAGACUCCUACGGGAGGCAGCAGUGGGGAAUCUUGCGCAAUGGGCGAAAGCCUGACGCAGCGACGCCGCGUGAGGGAAGAAGGCCUUCGGGUUGUAAACCUCUUUCAGGAGGGACGAAGCUACUCGGGUUAAUAGCCCAGAGGGUGACGGUACCUCCAGAAGAAGCCCCGGCUAACUACGUGCCAGCAGCCGCGGUAAUACGUAGGGGGCAAGCGUUGUCCGGAUUUAUUGGGCGUAAAGGGCUCCUAGGCGGUUCAGUAAGUCGACUGUGAAAAUCCAAGGCUCAACCUUGGGACGCCAGUCGAUACUGCUGUGACUCGAGUUCGGUAGAG